rnacentral:rRNA from 1 species
AGUGAACGCUGGCGGUAGGCCUAACACAUGCAAGUCGAACGGCAGCACAGUAAGAGCUUGCUCUUACGGGUGGCGAGUGGCGGACGGGUGAGGAAUACAUCGGAAUCUACUUUUUCGUGGGGGAUAACGUAGGGAAACUUACGCUAAUACCGCAUACGACCUACGGGUGAAAGCAGGGGAUCUUCGGACCUUGCGCGAUUGAAUGAGCCGAUGUCGGAUUAGCUAGUUGGCGGGGUAAAGGCCCACCAAGGCGACGAUCCGUAGCUGGUCUGAGAGGAUGAGCCGCCACACUGGAACUGAGACGCGGUCCAGACUCCUACGGGAGGCAGCAGUGGGGAAUAUUGGACAAUGGGCGCAAGCCUGGUCCAGCCAUACCGCGUGGGUGAAGAAGGCCUUCGGGUUGUAAAGCCCUUUUGUUGGGAAAGAAAAGCAGCAGGUUAAUACCCCGCUGUUCUGACGGUACCCAAAGAAUAAGCACCGGCUAACUGCG